rnacentral:rRNA from 1 species
UUUGCGCAUGGGCGAAAGCCUGCGCAGCGACGCCGCGUGGGGGAUGAAGGCCUUCGGGUUGUAAACCCCUUUCAGCAGGGACGAAGCGAGAGUGACGGUACCUGCAGAAGAAGCGCCGGCUAACUACGUGCCAGCAGCCGCGGUAACACGUAGGGCGCAAGCGUUGUCCGGAAUUAUUGGGCGUAAAGAGCUCGUAGGCGGUCUGUUGCGUCCGCUGUGAAAACUCGGGGCUUAACCCCGAGCCUGCAGUGGAUACGGGCAGACUAGAGGUAGGUAGGGGAGAAUGGAAUUCCCGGUGUAGCGGUGAAAUGCGCAGAUAAUNCGGGGNAGGGAACACCGGUGGCGAAGGCGGUUCUCUGGGCCUUACCUGACGCUGAGGAGCGAAAGCGUGGGGAGCGAACCAGGAUUAAAUACCCNNGGUANGU